GGAUCGGAAGAGCGCACUCUGACGCAGCACGCCGCGUGAGUGAAGAAGGCCUUCGGGUUGUAAACCUCUGUUUAUGGGGACGAAUGAGGCCGGUAUUCAUAGAAUAGGUCUCGGCUAACUCCUUGCCAGCAGCCGCGGUAUUAUACGUAGGAGGCUA
rnacentral:rRNA from 1 species